rnacentral:SRP_RNA from 2 species
GCUGGGCAUGGCGGCGCAUGCCUGUAAUCCCAGCUACUCGGGAGGCUGAGGCAGGAGAAUCACUUGAACCCAGGAGGCAGAGGUUGCAGUGAGCCGAGAUCACGCCACUGCACUCCAGCCUGGGUGACAGAGGGAGACUCCGUCUCAA